rnacentral:rRNA from 1 species
UACGUAGGGUGCGAGCGUUAAUCGGAAUUACUGGGCGUAAAGCGUGCGCAGGCGGUUCGUUGUGUCGGCGGUGAAAGCCCCGGGCUCAACCUGGGAAUGGCCGUUGAAACUGGCGAACUGGAGUGUGGCAGAGGGGGUGGAAUUCCGCGUGUAGCAGUGAAAUGUGUAGAGAUGCGGAGGAACACCGAUGGCGAAGGCAGCCCCCUGGGCUGACACUGACGCUCAGGCACGAAAGCGUGGGGAGCAAACAGG